rnacentral:lncRNA from 1 species
CUAUUAACUAACAUGCUAAUCAUAUAAUAAAAUUAAGCCUUUGGCCACUAAGAGGAGGCUUAUCUGCUAGACUCCAUUUAAUUUAUCAUUUCUAGUAAUAGUCAUACUAUUAAAUAAUGCACAAGCAAUAGGCUAUAAAUAAAGAGAUGGUGUUUAAGAGACUACUUUCACAGGUCCCUAGAGGUCAGUUGCACAAAAAGAACUUACAUAUGAAAUAAUCCCCUUCAAUGUGCUAGAAAUAUUUUUUAUUACAGGGUAUUUUUUAUCUUUCAUUCAAAUAUAGCCCCUAUACCAAAACUUGGUAGAGUCUGAUCACUAGCAUGUAUUAAAACACUAAACUACUAUAUCCAUUAGCAGUAUCAUUUCUUAACACUUUUAUCCUUCUAGUUGCUGGAGUAGCUAUCACUUGGACCACCCCGCACUCCCACAAUCUGAAAAAAAGAAAUCAAAAUGAAACAUUACCAGAACUGUUUAUCAACACUACACUAGAUGUUUACAUUAUGAGAAACCUCAGAAUUAUUAUGAAACAUUAUACACUAGUUCUAAUGACCUCUAUGACUCAAUAUUAUUUUUGACAAAAUGGAUUUCAUAGAUUGUGUGUAAUUACUGCUAAAGCUUUAAUUAUAUGUUUUCUAUGUCAAAUAACAUUUUGCUUCACUUUUAAUCAUUU